rnacentral:rRNA from 1 species
UACGUAGGGGGCUAGCGUUAUCCGGAAUUACUGGGCGUAAAGGGUGCGUAGGUGGUUUCUUAAGUCAGAGGUGAAAGGCUACGGCUCAACCGUAGUAAGCCUUUGAAACUGGGGAACUUGAGUGCAGGAGAGGAGAGUGGAAUUCCUAGUGUAGCGGUGAAAUGCGUAGAUAUUAGGAGGAACACCAGUUGCGAAGGCGGCUCUCUGGACUAUAACUGACACUGAGGCACGAAAGCGUGGGGAGCAAGCAGG